AGAGUUUGAUCCUGGCUCAGAUCGAACGUUAGCGGGAGGCUUAACACAUGCAAGUCGAGCGAGAACAGGGACUUCGGUCCCUUAGUAAAGCGGCGGACGGGUGAGUAACACGUGGAUAAUCUGCCCUUUGGCGGGGGACAACAGCUCGAAAGGGUUGCUAAUACCGCAUAAGUCUAGUCAGCCUUUGGGUUGAUUAGGGAAAGAUGGCCUCUUCUUGAAAGCUAUCACCGAAGGAUGAGUCCGCGUAGCAUCAGCUAGUUGGUGGGGUAAUGGCCUACCAAGGCUAAGACGCUUAGCUGGUCUGAGAGGAUGAUCAGCCACACUGGGACUGAGAUACGGCCCAGACUCCUACGGGAGGCAGCAGUGGGGAAUAUUAGACAAUGGGCGCAAGCCUGAUCUAGCCAUCCCGCGUGAGUGAUGAAGGCUUUCGGGUCGUAAAGCUCUGUGGGGAGAGACGAAACAGUAAGGGAACAAUACCCCUUGCUCUGACGGUAUCUCUUUAGCAAGCACCGGCUAACUCCGUGCCAGCAGCCGCGGUAAUACGGGGGGUGCAAACGUUGCUCGGAAUCAUUGGGCGUAAAGCGCGCGUAGGCGGCCUCUAUUAAGCAAGAUGUGAAAGCCCAGGGCUCAACCUUGGAACUGCAUUUUUGAACUGGUAGACUAGAGUACUGUAGAGGGUGGUGGAAUUUCCAGUGUAGCGGUGAAAUGCGUAGAGAUUGGAAGGAACAUCAGUGGCGAAGGCGGCCACCUGGACAGAUAACUGACGCUGAGGAACGAAAGCGUGGGGAGCGAACAGGAUUAGAUACCCUGGUAGUCCACGCCGUAAACGAUGUCAACUAGCCGUUUGUGGACUUGAUCCGUGAGUGGCGCAGCUAACGCACUAAGUUGACCGCGCCUGGGGAGUACGGCCGCAAGGGUAAAACUCAAAUGAAUUGACGGGGGCCCGCACAAGCGGUGUAGCAUGUGGGGUUUAAUUCGAAGCAACGCGAAGAACCUUACCUACUCUUGACAUCCUCAGAACUUAGCAGAGAUGCUUUGGUGCCUUCGGGAACUGAGUGACAGGUGCUGCAUGGCUGUCGUCAGCUCGUGUUGUGAAAUGUUGGGUUAAGUCCCGUAACGAGCGCAACCCUUGUCCUUAUUUGCCAGCACGUAAUGGUGGGAACUUUAAGGAGACUGCCGGUGACAAACCGGAGGAAGGUGGGGACGACGUCAAGUCAUCAUGGCCCUUAUGAGUAGGGCUACACACGUGCUACAAUGGCCGGUACAGAGGGCAGCAAGACCGCGAGGUGGAGCAAAUCCCAGAAAGCUGGUCGUAGUCCGGAUUGGAGUCUGCAACUCGACUCCAUGAAGUCGGAAUCGCUAGUAAUCGCGAAUCAGAAUGUCGCGGUGAAUACGUUCCCGGGCCUUGUACACACCGCCCGUCACACCAUGGGAGUGGGUUGCACCAGAAGUGGUUAGUCUAACCUUCGGGAGGACGAUCACCACGGUGUGAUUCAUGACUGGGGUGAAGUCGUAACAAGGUAGCC
rnacentral:rRNA from 1 species